rnacentral:rRNA from 1 species
UUCGACCCCCGGUACACUGAGCUUCUUAACCGAGCACGUACCGGACCACAGCGGUCGACGGGACCCGGUCUCAAACC